GUGCCAGCCGCCGCGGUAAUACGUAGGGGGCAAGCGUUGUCCGGAGUUACUGGGCGUAAAGGGCACGCAGGCGUUUGUGUCAGUUUGCGGGGACAGUGGGCGGCUUAACUGCCCAAUCGUCGCAAAGACGGCACGACUGGAGAGCGAGAGAGGGACCUGGAAUUCCGGGUGGAGCGGUGAAAUGCGUAGAGAUCCGGAGGAACACCACUGGCGAAGGCAAGGUCCUGGCUCGUACCUGACGCUCAGCCACGAAAGCAUGGGGAGCGAACGGGAUUAGAAACCCCUGUAGUCC
rnacentral:rRNA from 1 species